rnacentral:tRNA from 1 species
GGGUCGUUAGCUCAAUGGUAGAGCAAUCGCCUCUUAAGCGAUCGGUUACAGGUUCGAAUCCUGUACGACCCA